CGGGCUCUCGCAGAGAAGUCAGAGGAAUGGACCUUAUCAGAGGAACGACCUACACCAGAGAAGCCGCUCUCGCCAGAGGAACGGUCUUCGCCAGAGGAAUCACCAGAAACGCGGGGAAAUCUCCCGCGUGAGGGCAAUUUUACUAUUAUGCCCUUGACCACGCAAGGCGCAUGCUCCAGCGAUGAAUUUACCAUUUUACCCUUUACGUGUAAUCUAU
rnacentral:lncRNA from 1 species